rnacentral:rRNA from 1 species
CCUACGGGAGGCAGCAGUGGGGAAUAUUGGACAAUGGGGGGAACCCUGAUCCAGCCAUGCCGCGUGUGUGAAGAAGGCCCUCGGGUUGUAAAGCACUUUCAGUGAGGAAGAACGCCUGGUGGUUAAUACCCAUCAGGAAAGACAUCACUCACAGAAGAAGCACCGGCUAACUCCGUGCCAGCAGCCGCGGUAAUACGGAGGGUGCGAGCGUUAAUCGGAAUUACUGGGCGUAAAGCGCGCGUAGGUGGCUUGAUAAGCCGGUUGUGAAAGCCCCGGGCGCAACCUGGGAACGGCAUCCGGAACUGUCAAGCUAGAGUGCAGGAGAGGAAGGUAGAAUUCCCGGUGUAGCGGUGAAAUGCGUAGAGAUCGGGAGGAAUACCAGUGGCGAAGGCGGCCUUCUGGACUGACACUGACACUGAGGUGCGAAAGCGUGGGUAGCAAACAGGAUUAGAUACCCUAGUAGUC